rnacentral:rRNA from 1 species
ACGCUCGACACCUACGGAAGGCAGCAGUCGGGAAUAUUGCGCAAUGGAGGAAACUCUGACGCAGUGACGCCGCGUAUAGGAAGAAGGUUUUCGGAUUGUAAACUAUUGUCGUUAGGGAAGAUACAAGACAGUACCUAAGGAGGAAGCACCGGCUAACUAUGCGCCAGCAGCCGCGGUAAUCUGAGCGGGCUGGCAAGGC